rnacentral:rRNA from 1 species
AUUGAACGCUGGCGGCAGGCCUAACACAUGCCAGUCGAGCGAGCGGCGGACGUGGGAGUAAUGUAUGGGGACUGCCCGAUAGAGGGGGAUCACUACUGGAAACGGUGGCUAAUACCGCAUACUAUCGGAUAACCCAUAUGGGAUUAGCGAGUAGGUGGGGUAAAGGCUCACCUAGGCAACGAUCUCUAGCUGGUCUGAGAGGAUGAUCAGCCACACCGGGACUGAGACACGGCACAGACUCCUACGGCGGCAGCAGUGGGGAAUAUUGCGCAAUGGGUGCAAGCCUGAUGCAGCCAGGCCGCGUGUAUGAAGAAGGCCUUAGGGUUGUAAAGUACUUUCAGCGGGGAGGCGUUACCCAAAGAGAAAGCACCGGCUAACUCCGUGCCAGCAGCCGCGGUAAUAC